GCAAGCCGGAUGAAUCGAAAGGGUUCACGUCCGGUUUAGAGCGGGGGAAAAUCCGGAGAUAACAUCAAAGGAUUACCUAUCGCUAU
rfam:Lachnoclostridium sp. YL32, complete genome.